rnacentral:rRNA from 1 species
GCAUGCGAGUCAUUGUAGCAAUACAAGGCAGACGGCUCAGUAACGCGUAGUCAAUCUACCCUAUGGACGGGAAUAACCUCGGGAAACUGAGAAUAAUGCCCGACAGAACAUUAUACCUGGAACGGUUUAUGUUUCAAAUGAUUUAUCGCCGUAGGAUGGGACUGCGGCCUAUCAGUUUGUUGGUGAGGUAAUGGCCCACCAAGACUAUUACAGGUACGGGCUCUGAGAGGAGUAGCCCGGAGAUGGGUACUGAGACACGGACCCAGGCCCUAUGGGGCGCAGCAGGCGAGAAAACUUUGCAAUGUGCGAAAGCACGACAAGGUUAAUCCGAGUGGUUUCUGCUAAAGAAACCUUUUGCUAGUCCUAGAAACACUAGUGAAUAAGGGGUGGGCAAGUUCUGGUGUCAGCCGCCGCGGUAAAACCAGCACCUCAAGUGGUCAGGAUGAUUAUUGGGCCUAAAGCAUCCGUAGCUCGUUUUGUAAGUUUUCGGUUAAAUCCAUACGCUUAACGUAUGGGCUGCCGGGAAUACUGCAUAACUAGGAAGUGGGAGAGGUAGACGGUACUCGGUAGGAAGGGGUAAAAUCCUUUGAUCUAUUGAUGACCACCUGUGGCGAAGGCGGUCUACCAGAACACGUUCGACGGUGAGGGAUGAAAGCUGGGGGAGCAAACCGGAUUAGAUACCCGGGUAGUCCCAGCUGUAAACUAUGCAAACUCAGUGAUGCAUUGGCUUGUGGCCAAUGCAGUGCUGCAGGGAAGCCGUUAAGUCUGCCGCCUGGGGAGUACGGUCGCAAGACUGAAACUUAA